AAAAUCUAUCGUCACCCACUUGAUUGUCGUUCCAAUGACUUGGCUGCAUCAACACUAGCGGCGGUACAUAUAGGAUUUGAUUGAUGUGGCAAUAUUGGAUUGCUUCGGCCCAACGACCACGCCCACCUGCGUGCACACCUAGCCGUAAAUGUCAGUUGCCAAAUAACAUGGGGUUCUGUAACGGAUUUACGACUGCCACAGGAAAACUUUAAUUUUCCAGGUAAUUUCAAGCAAAAGCUGGCACUUCGUAGAAUUCCAUGAUAUUAGUUGACUGCAGCGUUUUCCCAAAUUACAUGGACAAGUGUCCUUGUUGAGGACUCGUGAUAGCCUAGAUCAUGAAUAUAAUGAGACCUUAUCCCACAAUAUCAAUAACUUGUUUAUGGGCACACAAAAUUGAAAUUCCCCCACUUAUUUAAUACACUUAAGCCAUCAACUUGGACUUGGCGCACAUGGCCACACGUACUAAAUCACUUACGGCCAAGUUCAAUCAGACGAGUUAAUAACUUCCGCAAUGUGGCAGCCAAAAUUAACCAUAAUUCACAUGCUACGGCCAACUAAACUGACCUAUUAGCCCGACUGGGCUUCGGACUUUUGGGUUCGGAAGCCGGUUAGUACGCUUGAAUGGAUGGGCCGUGCUCCACAGUGGGCCACGUUGAUCCGGGCCAAGAAUUCUCGGAGGAAGGGCGACUGUAAUAUGGUAAUUUUAGCGCUUGUCUCUCCACGGACUCACACGGCAAUCAGCACACACAAGCACAGCUCAUUUAUCAUGGCCCCUUUCAGCGUUCCGCGUCCUGCGACCUGCGUCCUGCGAUGUCCUUUAUCCUUCUGUCUCCCUGAGGCGACGGUUCAAGGUGACCAAGGCAUUUGCCGGCCAAUCUGAGGUCGUGUUCUCACGUGCACUUGGAAAUCACAACGUACACUUUAGUCGGGUAAAAAGAUGUAGAAAUCACCGAAGCAC